rnacentral:misc_RNA from 1 species
CAACCCUCAAGCCUUGCUUGGUGUUGGGUGCCACCUGCCACAGGGUGCACCUCAAAAUCAGUGGCGGUGCGGCCUGGCUUCAAGCGUAGUAACUCUUCUCGCUCCGGAGCCCAGGCGGCAUACCUGCCAACAACCUCAAACACAUCAAA